rnacentral:rRNA from 1 species
CAGCCGCCGCGGUAAUACCGGCCCCGCGAGUGGUCGGGGUGAUUAUUGGGCCUAAAGCGUCCGUAGCCGGGUUGGUUAGUCUCCCGGGAAAUCUGGCCGCUUAACGGUCAGAAUUCCGGGAGAUACUGCCAGCCUAGGGACCGGGAGAGGCCGAGGGUAUUCCCGGAGUAGGGGUGAAAUCCUAUAAUCCCGGGAGGACCACCUGUGGCGAAGGCGCUCGGCUGGAACGGGUCCGACGGUGAGGGACGAAGGCCAGGGGAGCAAACCGGAUUAGAUACCCGGGUAGUCCUGGCUGUAAACGAUGCGGACUUUGUGUCGGACAAGCUAUGAGCUUGUCCGGUGCCGGAGGGAAACCGUUAAGUCCGCCGCCUGGGGAGUACGGCCGCAAGGCUGAAACUUAAAGGAAUUGGCGGG